UGGGGAAUAUUGCACAAUGGGCGCAAGCCUGAUGCAGCCAUGCCGCGUGUAUGAAGAAGGCCUUCGGGUUGUAAAGUACUUUCAGUAGGGAGGAAGGUGGUUAAGUUAAAUACCUUAAUCAUUUGACGUUACCUACAGAAGAAGCACCGGCUAACUCCGUGCCAGCAGCCGCGGUAAUACGGAGGGUGCAAGGUAUCGAAUACUGGGCGUAAAGCGCAUGCAGGUGGUUUGUUAAGUCAGAUGUGAAAGCCCUGGGCUCAACCUAGGAAUCGCAUUUGAAACUGACAAGCUAGAGUACUGUAGAGGGGGGUAGAAUUUCAGGUGUAGCGGUGAAAUGCGUAGAGAUCUGAAGGAAUACCGGUGGCGAAGGCGGCCCCCUGGACAGAUACUGACACUCAGAUGCGAAAGCGUGGGGAGCAAACAGGAUUAGAUACCCUGGUAGUCCACGCCGUAAACGAUGUCUACUUGGAGGUUGUGCCCUAGAGGCGUGGCUUUCGGAGCUAACGCGUUAAGUAGACCGCCUGGGGAGUACGGUCGCAAGAUUAAAACUCAAAUGAAUUGACGGGGUCAUAGCUGUUUCCUG
rnacentral:rRNA from 1 species